rnacentral:tRNA from 1 species
GGGGAUGUGGCUGAGUGGCCGAAAGCGGCGGACUGUAAAUCCGUUCUCAAAAAGCGCGGUGGUUCGAAUCCACCCGUCCCCACCA